CGGUCGGGGAGUCCGGUAUAAAUAGAACAGCGCUAUUGAACCCUAGCUAGCGCCGCCUCCUUCUUCUUCUUCUGUUCACUCUCUUACUGCUCGGGAGCCUUCACAACUCUAUUCGCCCAGGUUCUUAUACUUUGAUAAAGAUGUGUGAAUUCAGCUAUGGGAAUAGAGGAAUUAAUUGAUGCAAAAGAGGAUUUUAAUGAAAUCGGUAAUUGGAGCAUUCGGCAGAAAAUUUAACGGUCUAUUCUGUACGUCUACCUCUGCGAACCAAUGUUCCAGAAUCUGCAGUCAAAGACCAAGCAGAUGACAUGCUAGAACAAGGAUGCCGAAUGAAAUUUGAUGAAAAGAACAGCUCAGAAGAACAAUUGAAACUGAUGGAAGUUCCACUGACUGAAACUGAGAUAGAAAGCAUAAAAUGGAUCAGGGAUAGCUAUAAUGGAAAAAUGAAUGUGCAAGACAUUAAAAGUUGCCCUCAACAAGGAGAAGACUCAUUGGAUUGCAGGCGUUUUGUGAUGUACAACAUGGAGAAAAUUUCGAAAAAUGAUAGAGUUCCAAGCAAACUAACAAAGGAUGAUAUUCUGAAAUUUAGAGCUCAUGUGGUAAAGUCAUUUGCAGAAAGUAGGCACGGCUGGAACUCAACACACGAUGAAUUAUAAAAAUUUGUUUAGGGAAUAGGACGGGUUGGAGAGUUCCUUCAGUACAUGUUAUAUAGUUUUUUGAGAGCAUCUAAAGUACAUGUUUUUAUAGUUUUUGGAUUGCUUUACUAUAUAUAAUUUUGUUUGCAAUGAUCUUUUGAAAGCAA